rnacentral:rRNA from 1 species
AUUGAACGCUGGCGGCAUGCCUUACACAUGCAAGUCGAACGGUAACAGGUCUUCGGAUGCUGACGAGUGGCGAACGGGUGAGUAAUACAUCGGAACGUGCCUAGUAGUGGGGGAUAACUACUCGAAAGAGUGGCUAAUACCGCAUGAGAUCUACGGAUGAAAGCAGGGGAUCGCAAGACCUUGUGCUACUAGAGCGGCCGAUGGCAGAUUAGGUAGUUGGUGGGAUAAAAGCUUACCAAGCCGACGAUCUGUAGCUGGUCUGAGAGGACGAUCAGCCACACUGGGACUGAGACACGGCCCAGACUCCUACGGGAGGCAGCAGUGGGGAAUUUUGGACUAUGGGCGAAAGCCUGAUCCAGCAAUGCCGCGUGCAGGAUGAAGGCCUUCGGGUUGUAAACUGCUUUUGCACGGAACGAAAAGCCCCGGGUUAAUACCCUGGGGUCAUGACGGUACCGUAAGAAUAAGCACCGGCUAACUACGUGCCAGCCGCCGCAGUAA